GCAUCGGUGGUUUAGUGGUAGAAUGCUCGCCUGCCACGCGGGCGGCCAGGGUUCGAUUCCUGGCCGAUGCA
rnacentral:tRNA from 1 species